AAUUAUGGAUGAAAAAAUGGUAUUAUUUAAAAAAUAUAUUACAUCACUUGUACUAUUGAAAAAACGUAUGGUCAGUCUGACAAUUUGUAUCUGACAUUUUCGUAUUUCCAAUUUUACCCCUGCCCCGUCGGGCCGCCUCGCUGUUGCCUCUUCACGACUCACAUCCAUUCAGGUAGCCCUUCACAUUAACCAUCGCCGGCCCCUCUAAUAUGGCGCUUCCGUCGCCCCCCCCCCCCCCCCCCCCCCCUGCUUCAUGCCGGGGGCUUCGAAUCGCCCUCCGUCUCAUCCACCGGACUUAUGUCCCGCCUUCGUCCACUGCCGCUGAACUGCCCGUCGUUCUCAUCGCCACCAGUGUCUUCGGUCGGUUUACCAGAGCUGCGCGCUGGCCAUCGAGACCAUGCCCCGCGCUGGCCAUGGUGCCCGCCCCAGCAUCCCCCUACGGUUGCCCAGAGCCAACGCCUGCACAUUGAGCCCACUCCGCUGGUAAAGGUAGGGCAGCCGCUUCCCACCCAUAUAGAUGAUGCCCGUAUAGACGCCCGCGCCUCUCCGUCCAACCCCACUGGCGCCUGUUCGGUGCCGUUAUAUUUUCAGAAAGGCAUGGAGGAGUUUAUGACAGUUGUUCAGUUCCUGCCUUUCUAUACGUUCCUCUCUAUCGCGAGUCAAACGCGUUGCUGUACAACCAUGUCAGAUCUUCUCAACAGCGGCCCAUUCCGUUCUGUGUAUGCCUUCUCCAUUUGUUCUGUCAGGUACUGCCUGCAAAGCGUUCGAUCAAAGGCCUGGCCCCGUUACCCGUUCCUUUCUCUUGUCAGUAAGGGCCCGAAUGAAUGCCAACUGCUUUACUGAGAUAUAAUGCGAAAGUCUGGAUAUGAAUGUUGAGCAUGAUGUUCCUCUGCUCUAACGCGAAGGGACAAGCUCUGAAUGAAUCCCGGGAAGCAGAGAAGAAACGGUGACUAUCAUAUGCCUGCCACCCAGAGACUUUGCCUCUCCAAGGAUCAAACAUUUAGCACGGUAAUCUUUCGCCUCUCUGGCCCUCGCCCUCAUGACCUUGAAAGUUUUGUUCUUUAAGUGAAGAUGCAUCAACGGGCCUUAUUUCUUGGUCAUGUCUCUGAGUGCUUUAUGUGGUGGAGACCCAAUCAUAUUGUGUAUAUUUCCUAUAAGUGGAAGUUUCCAUGGCCCUGGAGGUAGUUUCAAGGCCAAACGGGUUUGACUUGGAUCUUAUUUGUUUUGCCAAGGCAGUGAGAAUGUGGAGGAAGAAGGUGAUGAGGAGUGGAAAGAAAUGAGGGUUGAAGGUCCAUAACAGAUAAGAGAUGUAGGUGCUAGCUGGUUUUCUAUUUUUAUUAGGUUAUUAGUGUAAUAGGAGAUGGACUAUUUGUCUGUUUCCUUUGGAGCAUCUUGGGAACUAUGUUGUCAUGUUUCAGGAUUUUGAUACCUUUCCUGACACCCAUCAAUAGUUUGGAGUAACAAAUGAGCUUAAAUAAGCAAGCUAUUGGUGGUAAGCAGAGAUAACAAAUAAUGCCGGAGGUUGUGGUUGAGAGUUUCAAUUGUCUCUUUAAUUUCUUUGUGAAGAAGAUCUAUUUAUGCAUGCAGGCAUAAUACUGCAGUUUCUAUUGGUUAUUAUAAACUAUAUGGUUUACUGGUCGAAAAGCAUUCAGUGCAAUCUAACAGAUGUAAUUCCUUCAUCGUAAUAUAUGGUGUCUUACCUUCUUAUUAGAUGAGCCGCUCGACACUGUCCAGAAUUUCACUUGCCAGUAAAAUUCUAAUUUGUGGUAAUUUCCAAAUAAACCUUCUGUACCUGUUGACAAUGUUUAAUUAUUGACUUCUCUGCUGCUUUUACUUUUUGUCUUCUUUACAGAUCUCGACUACAGAUAUGUUACUACAGUUACCAGCUCUUGUCCUUGCUCAAAGUAGGCGCUCGCCUCACAGGUCCUGUCCUCGUCAGUCCACCUUUUCGAUCUCAAACUUCAUUUAGGUAUGUCGUCAAUUCAAGCAUCUGGAUUCAUAUAUAAUCGGCGUUUAUUUCUUCGAGGCCUCAUUUUUGGGGUAUAGCCCAUAAUGACCAUUAACAACCAUUUUAUUUUUAUUGUUUAUAAGUAUCAAUUAACUACUUUUUUGUCCAGUUUAAGAGAUUGUUUAGUGUAAUUUGUUAUACUGGAUCAGUUGCGAUAGUUGGUUCUCUGCUCGUUCGUCAGGGUAUGCUCUACCUGAUUUCCUUAUCUUUCAGUAAUUGAGUGUAAUUACAUGCAUUAUAAUGUGCAUUAUAGUGCAUAUCUCUGGCUAUGGGAGUUUCGAAAUGAGGUUAGUGACAUUGAUUUUUCUUUUGCAUUAGAUUAGAUUGGAUAUUAGAUAUUUGUUAUAGUUGGGAGCCUGAUUUGUUAGACAGGUUAAGCAUCUCUUUUAGGGGAGGCUAAUCAUUGAUUUUGUUCUACUACCCAGUCCUCUCUCAAGUCACAAUAUGCUUUGAUGAUUAUAUGCAACUAGAUUCGCUUAAUGUUUGAUUGAAGGACACAUUUCCCGUGGCAAUUUGUGACCUUUACCAUCUCCAUAGGUUUGUAGUAGAGUUUGUGUUAGACUAAGUGUAAGUGUGCUCUGUGACAGUAUUGAGGGUUGUGAUGAGUGAAAAUUGUGGUGACGAUGGAGAUUUUGACAGAGAUGAAACAAAUAGUUCAGUUUAAGUUGCUCAUAUACCAGACUGGUGACACUAUGUGAAUUGCUCGUAUGUAAUCAAAUGAGCAAACCUUGUCUAAAGAUAAGAAAUGAAGGUGGGAAUAUUAAUGGUCUUCGUUAUUUUUAUCAGUUCUUGCUGAGAUUAUUGUCUUUGCAUACUGUUUUAUUGGUUAUGUUCCUUUUCCUCUGGAAACAAAAAAGGUUGCCACAAUAUUUACAUUAAAGUUUCCUACUGCUAUCUUUCAUGCACAUUUUUUGCACCUCUGAAGGUCAUUUUACUUGUAUUUUACCUUUGGAUAAUAUCGUCUUUCGGCAGCUGCUCACCCAGAACUGAAUUGUAACUUGUACUACCAAUAUACUCUCUAAACUAUGGUCCACCCAGCUCUCAAUUUAAUAUGCAAGCAAAUCAAUAGUGGAUGGCAUAUGUUGCUGCAGAUGCAAUUGAUAAAAUUACUAACAAGGUUUAUAUAAAUUUUAUGCCCCUCUUAUUUGUGCACUUCAUUGUUUUGGGACUUUUCCUACCUUGAACAUAGAUAUAUAUUUCGCAGGCUUAGAAUUUAAAUAUCGAACAGAAGCUUCUGGUGAGUGGAUUCACCAGCCUUUGCUCAAAAUGCUGGAAGGAACCAUGUAUGUCUUGUGCUUCUGAAUUUUAAGUCUCUAUCAGUUGUCGCCUUGAAUAAUGUCUCUGUUUUUGAAUGAGCAGAAUGUUGUAGGGACAUCCGUAUAAUUUCUCUGUUUUGUAAAAAUUGUUUCUGUGCUCUCACUUUUUCUCCAAUCAAGUUCAACUUACAGUUUAAUUAAGUGCAGGUAAAGUUUUUUCAAAAAAUUAUAGUUGAAUGUGGGAACCACCGAGCACUCUUAACCAUGACUGACCGCAAAGAUAUUUGGAUGCUCAGUAUAUAAUCUUAUGGAGUCAACUGAGGAGCUACAUUUUGAAAAUCUAACCUACUAUAUAUUAUAUUUUAACUGUUAAAAAUUAUGUUAAGAAUUUACUCUUGCAUUGUGACAAAAUAAAAUGGAAUGAGAUUCUUCUAUGUGAAACAAAUACAACCUUCUUAUGACUACCCAUACUUUUUUUCAAACGGACUCUUAAAUAUGUAUUGUAAUCAGUAUCCUUCUAAAGUUGUGUCCAAAAUAGCAUUUGAAAGUUUUGAGUACCCAUAAAUGUGCUUUUCUUUCUCAUUGAUCAUCAAUUAUAUUCAACUGUGGAAGCAAAACUUUUUAGGGUUCACAGGUUCUUAUGAAUCUAAUAAACUUCCAUCUCUUUUGUUGCUAUGUUCUGAAAUGAAUUGUGAGAAUUGUGGGUGCGUCUUAUAUUUUCAACACAAGUAAAUCGAGCCGAUGGAUGGCUCAAAGUUCAUGACUUAUUUGAAGACAAAUGCUUGAAAGAAUGAAAAAACUUUGUGACUUUAUUUGGUAUUGCAAUUUAAUAAAAUAAAUAAGAUAUAUAUUUAUUAUGCUGCAGUUAUCAUUCUAUAAUUACAAACAGUUUAUAUUGUUUUUGAAAUACAAUGCUAUACAUACAUUUCAUUACUGCACUUGCCCUUUCACUAGUUUUCUUAGAUAUAAAACAAAAGAAAAUUGUAAUAGAUAAAUUCCAUGUAUUUAGUAAAAAAAGAAGUGCAAAUAAUUUAUUAUCAUAAAUUCUGGCUGCAAAUUCUUAAUUUUAAUAUAUGUAGAUUUAUAUUUUACUAUUUCAGAAGUGUUCAAUUGCAAAUUCUUACUUUUAAUAAUUUUUAUAAGGAUUUAUUUUUUAUUGCUAUUUCAAAAGUGUUCAAUAUUUAAACAUAUAUAUUAGCAGUGUUAUCAGAACCGGACCGGAUGAUGAACCGGAAGGGGUACGGUGAUAUUAGUAGAUUUUUCUUUUAACUAGUGGUAUCGCCACAUGCCUUGCACAUGGCGAUGUUUCUAUUUAUUUACUCUAUUUGUAUUCGACCUGCAUUUCACAUUUCGUUGUCUCUAUGUUUUUGCACUAUUUAAUUGUAUUUGUAAUUAUCUGAGUAUGCAAUAACAAAAAGUAACCAAGUAAAUUUUCAAGGUAGAUAUAUAUAAGUUUUACAAUAAUAACUAAUAGAAGAUUUUUUCUCAGUAUUCAUGUCACUAUCAAGUACAAAUAUAUGCCUCUUAUAACCAACUGCACCAUACUUAAGCCAAGGGGAGCAAAAGUACUUACCUAUCCUCCUAAAAAUGGUUAUAAAGUAGCGAUCGGCCUUCAAAUUGUUGUUCCGGUUUUGAUUCAAGAUGAAGCUUUUGGAAGAAUUCCAUUGUUAGGUAGUGAGAUUCCACCGUUCUAAGAACAAAAGAAAUUAUUAUAACAUUGCAGAGAAUUAAGCCUUUCAACAUAAGUUUAUCUCAUUAUAAUUCUCACAAACUAUUAUCGGUCACUUGUAAAAAAUGAGCUGCCUACCUCUGCUAGAGCAAUCGAUCUGCGGACAACUCCUUUCAAGAUGAAGUGCACCUGAGAAACAAAACAUGGUAUAGGAAAUUAUGCCAGCCAUACAGAAGAUCAUAUUUCACAAAGCAGGAUAAGUACCUAUGGUCCUUAAAGUGCAAUGAAUAAAAGCUAAAGACCAUAAGAACAAGAAGUGUGUUAAUACUUGCCUCAUUGCAAAAGUCAGCUUUUGUUUUGAUCUACCUAUCAUCUGCUGGGGUCGAUCCAUGACUUCCUAAAGUAUGUCGAAUUUAACGGAUACAGUGAGUCAUAUUUGGAGCAACCUUAAUUUUUUGCAUCCACUUGACAAGUGAAGGAAAGAUAUGAACAUGCUAAAUCUACACAAUCAGCAGUCUAUCCUGUAGAGGGAAACUCGAAUAUGGAAAGCAAAAUCAGAGGACAGAUAGCAGCUAAAGUAGAAGCCUGCUACUGAAGACUGCAAGAUACCUAUGGGGAGCAAGAAGUAGUGUGCUCAUCUUUCAAGCUCUGCCACUGCCAGAAUUGCAAAUUGAAUGACAAAGUGGAGUGAUGCUUUGAUGUAACUUGCCACCCGAACAGAAACCCACAAGCAUAAGCGUAGGAAACCCAUCUUCAGAUGGUUUUCCAUGGGGUUCAUCACACCAGGCUUUGGAAAGACAAGGGGAUAGGGCUAGCAGGACCAUGAUGAGGGUUGUCGAGGUGGUUAUCUGCCAACAAAGAGACAAUAUGAGUAUUGCAUAGCUAAAUUCUAGGUGCGAUUAAAGAAUAAUCUGAGCAUAAUAAGCUUGAAGCAACUUGAUUAUAUUUUCCCCUCAUUUUAAGCGCUUUACAACUUGUUCAUAUUGUGCGGAAAGGAAGGGAAUGAAAGUUGAAAUCUUUGAAUUUGUGUUGGCAUCUUACCGUAAUGAAGGGGAGAGAACUCCAUCAAGUGCAUUUUCAUUCUCUGCCAAAAUUUAGUCGGAGAAAAUGGGAAAGUAAUGAGACCAAUGAAGAAAAUGGUAACUCUCUUUCUUGCUCCAUGCCAGGUUAAGUUGAAUGAAUAAAUCGAGUAUAUAAUUGAUGGAGAGCAGUUGUAAAGUUAAGCAAUGCAACAAUGAAAGAGCUCUCUUUGGUUCAGCUUCAACUAAUACUCAUCAAACUUGUAUUAAUUACAGGCAAUUUACUUGAGGAAGUUCAAAGAAAGGUGAGUUAUCACCCACAUUACAGACAAUUUACUCGAGGAAGUUCAAAGAAAGGGGAGUUAUUACCCACAAAUACACAUCAAACUUGUAUUAAUUACAGGCAAUUUACUUGAGGAAGUUCAAAGAAAGGUGAGUUAUCACCCACAAGACCAUCGGUGAAUGAAGCCAUUGGUGCCUCAUACUGAAAGGAGUUCCUGGAGAAUAAUCUCAUAGUAUAUUUUACAUGUAAAUAGAUAAUAGACUGCGGAAACUGACCUGCCUCUCCGGUGCGUAACCUGGAGGGAAAUUGGCUGCCCUCACCUCAGCAGCCCAAUCGUGAAACUCGAUCGUGCAAUCAAUGUCCUCCACCACUAGGAUCGACCUGCUAGCCGUUGCUACAAGCAGCCUCCUCCGGUCUGAGUUGCACUUCAGCUCGGAGGUACCCUCUCUUCCAAGCCUUCCCGAUCGUCCUGUUAUAGUCCCUCCUCUUCACGAAUCGCUCGAGGUCCUCGAGGAUUGUCUUUUUAAUCUCUGAAUCCAUGGCAAGUGUCUCGAACAUUGCGGGAUGGUCGAGGUUCACUGGGGUCCACGCAUCCAAGAGGUUGCCAUACAUGUGCUCGAAGCUUGGGGUGAAGAGCUUCAGCGUCUUCUUCUCUUGCCUUAGAGACUUGGCGACCUCGACAACCUGAGGCAAGUAGGAAUUGAUCACCUGUAAAAUUAUUGAUAAGAUUUAGAUUGCAUUAUUAAAAAUAAAUGUACCAUUGCUUG